GGAGGAGAAAAGUUUGUGGUUUAGAGUUUAACACCUUACGCUGUGUUCGUUUGAAGGGAAAUAACUGUUUACGCUGAUAUGCGAGGAUGGAUUUUGGGGAUGGGCAUUGUUCUCAUGCGAUGAUUUGUAAAGAUAAAAAUCCACUGAUUUGCGAGAUUUCACUGUUAAACCCAUCUCGCUAAUUUGAGAGGAUUUACGCUGAUUACUGGACAAAGACUUAUAUACCCUGUACGAAAAUUAAAAUUCCAC
rnacentral:lncRNA from 1 species